CAUUCCAAAGAGCUUUGUAGCCAAUGAAAUACUUUUCAAAGUGUAGCCGCUGCUGCAGUGUCCAGCAGCCACACGGAGAGUAGAGGAUCUGUGAAAAAAUAUCGAGAUGGAUAAAGCAGCAACAAAUUAAAGCUUCGAACAAGUGUGAGAACUUAUCCUGGUUUCUUCCCAUCCUUGGACUCAGAUAUACUAGAGGUUCGCUCCAGUUGCUCUCAGACUCUUAUGCCAGAUUGGUAUUUCUCCUGUUUGCUCCUGGACUCACAACUGAGUAACCCCUCAGACAAGCCGACUAUGAACAUGAUGAGACCUUGGACCUACUCUUUGCA